rnacentral:rRNA from 1 species
UUAAGCAUAUUAAUUAAGGGAGGAAAAGAAACUAACAAGGAUUUUCUUAGUAGCGGCAAGGGAAAAGAAAAUAGUUCAGCACUAAGUCACUUUGUCUUUAUGGCAAAUGUGAGAUGCAGUGUAUGGAGCAUCAAUAUUCUAGUAUGAGAAAUUAAUGAUUUAAGUCCUUCUUAAAUGAGGCCAUUUACCCAUAGAGGGUGCCAGGGCCGUAUAACGUUAAUGAUUACUAGAUGGUGUUUCCAAAGAGUCGUGUUGCUUGAUAGUGCAGCACUAAGUGGGUGGUAAACUCCAUCUAAAACUAAAUAUAACCAUGAGACCGAUAGUAAACAAGUACCGUGAGGGAAAGUUGAAAAGAACUCUGAAUAGAGAGUUAAAUAGUACGUGAAACUGCUUAGAGGUUAAGCCCGAUGAACCUGAAUAUCCAUUAUGGAAAAUUCAUCAUUAGAGUUUUAAUAUUUUAAUAAUAUUAUAAUAAUAGUGUGCAUUUUUUCCAUAUAAGGACAUUGUAUGCAUUAUAUGCACUUGUAUGAUUAACAAUGAUACCUUCGAGAGAUUCAGGAUACCUUCGGCACCGGUCUUGAAACACGGACCAAGGAGUCUAACAUAUGUGCAAGUUAUUGGGAUAUAAACCUAAUAGCAUAAUUAACUUGACUAAUAAUGGGAUUAGUUUUUUAACUUUUUAUAGAUAAUUAACACAAUCCCGGGGCGUUCUAUAUAGUUAUGUAUAAUGAUAUUUAUAUUAUUUAUACCUCUAAAUGGAACGUACCUUGAGCAUAUAUGCUGUGACCCGAAAGAUGGUGAACUAUACUUUAUCAGGUUGAAGUCAGGGGAAACCCUGAUGGAAGACCGAAACAGUUCUGACGUGCAAAUCUAUUGUCAGAAUUGAGUAUAGGGGCGAAAGACCAAUCGAACCAUCUAGUAGCUGGAUCCUUCCGAAGUUUCCCUCAGGAUAGCUGGUGCAUUUAAAUGUUAUAUAAAAUAAUCUUAUCUGGUAAAGCGAAUGAUUAGAGGCCUUAGGGUCGAAACGAUCUUAACCUAUUCUCAAACUUUAAAUGGGUAAGAACCUUAACUUUCUUGAUAUGAAGUUUAAGGUUAUGAUAUAUUGUGCCCAGUGGGCCACUUUUGGUAAGCAGAACUGGCGCUGUGGGAUGAACCAAACGUAAUGUUACGGUGCCCAAAUUAACAACUCAUAGAGAAACCAUGAAAGACGUUGGUUGCUUAAAACAGCAGCGGUGAUCAUGGAAGUCGAAUCCGCUAAUGAGUGUGUAACACUCACCUGCCGAAGCACUAGCCCUUAAAAUGGAUGGCGCUUAGUUGUAUACCUAUACAUUACCGCUAAAGUAGAUGAUUUAUAUUAUUUAUAAUACAAAUUUUGAAACUUUAGUGAGUAGGAAGGUACAAUGGUGUGCUUAGAAGUGUUUUGCGUAAGCCUGCAUGGAGCCGUUGGUACAGAUCUUGGUGGUAGUAGCAAAUAAUCGAAUGAGACCUUGGAGGACUGAAGUAAAGAAGGGUUUCGUGUGAACAGUGGUUGAUCACGAGUUAGUCGGUCCUAAGUUCAAGGCGAAAGCCGAAAAUUUUUAAGUUUUAAAAAUGUCAAAUGAAAUAAUAAAUAAUAAAACACUUAAAUAAUUUUGAACGAAAGGGAAUACGGUUCCAAUUCCGUAAACUGUUGAGUAUCCCUUUGUUAUUAAAUAUGGGCCUCGUGCUCAUCCUGGCAACAGGAACAACCAUAAAAAAGCCGUCGAGAGGUAUCGGAAGAGUUUUCUUUUCUGUUUUAUAGCCGUACUACCAUGGAAGUCUUUCGCAGAGAGAUAUGGUAGAUGGGCUAGAAGAGCAUGACAUAUACUGUUGUGUCGAUAUUUUCUCCUCGGACCUUGAAAAUUUAUGGUGGGGAUACGCAAACUUCUCAAUAGGCCGUACCAAUAUCCGCAGCUGGUCUCCAAGGUGAAGAGUCUCUAGUCGAUAGAAUAAUGUAGGUAAGGGAAGUUGGCAAAUUAGAUCCGUAACUUCGGGAUAAGAAUUGGCUCUGAAGAUUGAGAUAGUCGGGCUUGAUUGGGAAACAAUAACAUGGUUUAUGUGCUCGUUCUGGGUAAAUAGAGUUUCUAUCAUUUAUGAUAGUUAUUUGUUCCCCGGAUAGUUAGUUACGUAGCCAAUUGUGGAACUUUCUUGCUAAAAUUUUUAAGAAUACUAAUUUUUAAUUAGUUCUUUUAAAUUAUAACGAUUAUCAAUUAACAAUCAAUUCAGAACUGGUACGGACUUGGGGAAUCCGACUGUCUAAUUAAAACAAAGCAUUGUGUAAUUAGUGACGCGCAUGAAUGGAUUAACGAGAUUCCUACUGUCCCUAUCUACUAUCUAGCGAAACCACAGCCAAGUGAACGGGCUUGGAAUAAUUAGCGGGGAAAGAAGACCCUUUUGAGCUUGACUCUAAUCUGGCAGUGUAAGGAGACAUAAGAGGUGUAGAAUAAGUGGGAGAUAUUAUUCCUUGUGUUUGAUAUCGCCAAUGAAAUACCACUACUCUUAUUUUUUCCUUACUUACUUGAUUAAAUGGAACGUGUAUCAUUUCCUAGCCAUUAACGGAUAUAUUUAUUAUAUCUUAUGGUAUUGGGUUUUGAUGCAACCUUUUUGAUCAAAGUAUCACGAGUUUGUUAUAUAAUCGCAAACAAAUUCCUUAAUGAGAGAGUGCAUUUAUGUAUUUUUAAUUUGAAAUAUUUGGUAUAACUCCAAUUACUCAGGUAUGAUCCAAUUCAAGGACAUUGCCAGGUAGGGAGUUUGACUGGGGCGGUACAUCUCUCAAAUAAUAACGGAGGUGUCCCAAGGCCAGCUCAGUGCGGACAGAAACCACACAUAGAGCAAAAGGGCAAAUGCUGACUUGAUCUCGGUGUUCAGUACACACAGGGACAGCAAAAGCUCGGCCUACCGAUCCUUUUGGUUUAAAGAGUUUUUAACAAGAGGUGUCAGAAAAGUUACUAUAGGGAUAACUGGCUUGUGGCGGCCAAGCGUUCAUAGCGACGUCGCUUUUUGAUCCUUCGAUGUCGGCUCUUCCUAUCAUUGUGAAGCAAAAUUCACUAAGCGUUGGAUUGUUCACCCAUGCAAGGGAACGUGAGCUGGGUUUAGACCGACGUGAGACAGGUUAGUUUUACCCUACUAGUGACAAAACGUUGUUGCGACAGCAUUCCUGCGUAGUACGAGAGGAACCGCACGUACGGACCAAUGGCACAGACGGACGGAUGGACAUGGCUAUAUCAACUCAGCUUCUUAUGCUGAUCAAGAAUAUAUAUACUUUAUGGGGUCGGAAACGUCUCCUUCUGUGCGUUACAAACAUCUGACCAAUUUUAUAAUACCCUCUGCAAGGGUAUAAAAAUUCAUAUAAGUAAAUACA